UACAGAGGUCCCGAGCGUUGUUCGGAUUCACUGGGCGUAAAGGGUGCGUAGGUGGUGAGGAAAGUCGGAUGUGAAAUCUCCAAGCUCAACUUGGAAAUGGCAUUGGAAACUACCUUGCUGGAGGUUUGGAGGGGGGACUGGAAUACUUGGUGUAGCAGUGAAAUGCGUAGAUAUCAAGUGGAACACCAGUGGCGAAGGCGAGUCCCUGGACAACUCCUGACACUGAGGCACGAAAGCUAGGGGAGCAAACAGG
rnacentral:rRNA from 1 species